AGGGCGCACGGUGGAUGCCUUGGCACUAGAAGCCGAUGAAGGACGUGACUAACGACGAAAUGCUUUGGGGAGCUGUAAGUGAGCAAUGAUCCAGAGAUGUCCGAAUGGGGGAACCCGGCAGGUAAUGCCUGUCACUCAUUACUGUUAAGGUAAUGUAGAGGAAGACGCAGUGAACUGAAACAUCUAAGUAGCUGUAGGAAGAGAAAGCAAAAGCGAUUGCCUUAGUAGCGGCGAGCGAAACGGCAAGAGGGCAAACCGAAGAGUUUACUCUUCGGGGUUGUAGGACUGCAACGUGGACUUAAAGAUUAUAGAAGAACUACCUGGGAAGGUAGGCCAAAGAGAGUAAUAGCCUCGUAUUCGAAAUAGUCUUUAUACCUAGCAGUAUCCUGAGUACGGCGAGACACGAGAAAUCUCGUCGGAAUCUGGGAGGACCAUCUCCCAACCCUAAAUACUCUCUAGUGACCGAUAGUGAACCAGUACCGUGAGGGAAAGGUGAAAAGCACCCCGGGAGGGGAGUGAAAUAGAACCUGAAACCGUGUGCCUACAACAAGUUCGAGCCCGUUAAUGGGUGAGAGCGUGCCUUUUGUAGAAUGAACCGGCGAGUUACGAUAUGAUGCGAGGUUAAGUUGAAGAGACGGAGCCGUAGGGAAACCGAGUCUUAAUAGGGCGCAUUAGUAUCAUGUCGUAGACCCGAAACCAUGUGACCUACCCAUGAGCAGGUUGAAGGUGAGGUAAAACUCACUGGAGGACCGAACCAGGGCACGUUGAAAAGUGCUUGGAUGACUUGUGGGUAGCGGAGAAAUUCCAAACGAACUUGGAGAUAGCUGGUUCUCUCCGAAAUAGCUUUAGGGCUAGCGUCGAUGUUAAGUCUCUUGGAGGUAGAGCACUGUUUGGGUGAGGGGUCCAUCCCGGAUUACCAAUCUCAGAUAAACUCCGAAUGCCAAUGAGAUAUAAUCGGCAGUCAGACUGCGAGUGCUAAGAUCCGUAGUCGAAAGGGAAACAGCCCAGACCACCAGCUAAGGUCCCAAAAUAUAUGUUAAGUGGAAAAGGAUGUGGGGUUGCACAGACAACUAGGAUGUUAGCUUAGAAGCAGCUAUUCAUUCAAAGAGUGCGUAAUAGCUCACUAGUCGAGUGACCCUGCGCCGAAAAUGUACCGGGGCUAAAACAUAUUACCGAAGCUGUGGAUACCUUUAUAGGUAUGGUAGGAGAGCGUUCUAUGUGCGAAGAAGGUGUACCGUGAGGAGUGCUGGAGCGCAUAGAAGUGAGAAUGCCGGUAUGAGUAGCGAAAGACAGGUGAGAAUCCUGUCCACCGUAAGACUAAGGUUUCCAGGGGAAGGCUCGUCCGCCCUGGGUUAGUCGGGACCUAAGGAGAGACCGAAAGGUGUAUCCGAUGGACAACAGGUUGAUAUUCCUGUACUAGAGUAUAUAGUGAUGGAGGGACGCAGUAGGCUAACUAAACCAGACGAUUGGAAGUGUCUGGCCAAGCAGUGAGGUGUGAUAUGAGUCAAAUGCUUAUAUCUUUAACAUUGAGCUGUGAUGGGGAGCGAAGUUUAGUAGCGAAGUUAGUGAUGUCACACUGCCGAGAAAAGCUUCUAGCGUUAAUUAUACUCUACCCGUACCGCAAACCGACACAGGUAGUCGAGGCGAGUAGCCUCAGGUGAGCGAGAGAACUCUCGUUAAGGAACUCGGCAAAAUGGCCCCGUAACUUCGGGAGAAGGGGCGCUGACUGAUGGUCAGCCGCAGUGAAUAGGCCCAAGCAACUGUUUAUCAAAAACACAGCUCUCUGCUAAAUCGUAAGAUGAUGUAUAGGGGGUGACGCCUGCCCGGUGCUGGAAGGUUAAGAGGAGUGCUUAGCGUAAGCGAAGGCAUGAAUUGAAGCCCCAGUAAACGGCGGCCGUAACUAUAACGGUCCUAAGGUAGCGAAAUUCCUUGUCGGGUAAGUUCCGACCCGCACGAAAGGCGUAAUGAUUUGGGCACUGUCUCAACGAGAGACUCGGUGAAAUUUUAGUACCUGUGAAGAUGCAGGUUACCCGCGACAGGACGGAAAGACCCCAUGGAGCUUUACUGCAGUUUGAUAUUGAGUAUCUGUACCACAUGUACAGGAUAGGUAGGAGCCUAUGACCUCGGGACGCCAGUUUCGAGUGAGGCGUUGUUGGGAUACUACCCUUGUGUUAUGGCUACUCUAACCCAGAUAGGUUAUCCCUAUCGGAGACAGUGUCUGACGGGCAGUUUGACUGGGGCGGUCGCCUCCUAAAAGGUAACGGAGGCGCCCAAAGGUUCCCUCAGAAUGGUUGGAAAUCAUUCGCAGAGUGUAAAGGUAUAAGGGAGCUUGACUGCGAGAGCUACAACUCGAGCAGGGACGAAAGUCGGGCUUAGUGAUCCGGUGGUUCCGUAUGGAAGGGCCAUCGCUCAACGGAUAAAAGCUACCCUGGGGAUAACAGGCUUAUCUCCCCCAAGAGUUCACAUCGACGGGGAGGUUUGGCACCUCGAUGUCGGCUCGUCGCAUCCUGGGGCUGAAGCCGGUCCCAAGGGUUUGGCUGUUCGCCAAUUAAAGCGGCACGCGAGCUGGGUUCAGAACGUCGUGAGACAGUUCGGUCCCUAUCCGUCGCGGGCGUAGGAAAUUUGAGAGGAUCUGCUCCUAGUACGAGAGGACCAGAGUGGACUUACCGCUGGUGUACCAGUUGUUCUGCCAAGAGCAUCGCUGGGUAGCUAUGUAGGGAAGGGAUAAACGCUGAAAGCAUCUAAGUGUGAAGCCCACCUCAAGAUGAGAUUUCCCAUGAUUUU
rnacentral:rRNA from 1 species